UACGGGGGGGGCAAGCGUUGUUCGGAAUCACUGGGCGUAAAGGGCUCGUAGGCGGCCAACUAAGUCAGACGUGAAAUCCCUCGGCUUAACCGGGGAACUGCGUCUGAUACUGGAUGGCUUGAAUCCGGGAGAGGGAUGCGGAAUUCCAGGUGUAGCGGUGAAAUGCGUAGAUAUCUGGAGGAACACCGGUGGCGAAGGCGGCAUCCUGGACCGGCAUUGACGCUGAGGAGCGAAAGCCAGGGGAGCAAACGGG
rnacentral:rRNA from 1 species